GUGGGGAAUAUUGCGCAAUGGGGGAAACCCUGACGCAGCAACGCCGCGUGAAGGAUGAAGGUUUUCGGGUUGUAAACUUCUUUUAUGUGGGACGAAAAAAAUGACGGUACCACAUGAAUAAGCCACGGCUAACUACGUGCCAGCAGCCGCGGUAAUACGUAGGUGGCAAGCGUUGUCCGGAUUUACUGGGUGUAAAGGGCGCGUAGGCGGAUGUGCAAGUCAGAUGUGAAAUACCAGGGCUCAACCCUGGGGCUGCAUUUGAAACUGUGCAUCUUGAGUGAUGGAGAGGCAAGCGGAAUUCCUAGUGUAGCGGUGAAAUGCGUAGAUAUUAGGAGGAACACCAGUGGCGAAGGCGGCUUGCUGGACAUUAACUGACGCUGAGGCGCGAAAGCGUGGGGAGCAAACAGGAUUAGAUACCCCAGUAGUCCC
rnacentral:rRNA from 1 species